GGAAGAAGAAUAAGUUACAGGUGUCAUAAUACAUUUUACAGGAUGCUUUAGUUACCUACCAGAAUGCUGUAAAAACUGCUAAAAUGAACUAGCUUGCUGGGUUAAUCUCAAGGUAUAUGGGAAUUCUAAAGUGUAGUUUAAUACGAUUAAUUCUGUACUAAAUCAUUCCACCGCCGAUACUGCUCUUCCUGCUAUGGCGUGUGAUGAUUUGUUAAACUUCUUUGUUCGGAAAGUAAUCCAUAUUAGAAUGCAGACUGUGCCUGGUUCUUUUCAUUCUCUAUCUACUAGUUGCACAUCUACGAUAUUUAAUUAAUUUUCUCCUCUUUCACUAUAGUCUUUAUCAAAGAUAACUGGUCAGUUGAAACCUACAAAUUGCUGCCAUGGUAUCAUUCCAUUAAAAAUUAUUAAACAGACUUUUGAGAUUAUCGGCCCAAGCCUAUAGACAUUGAUAAAUAAAAGUCUCACAGCAUCCGUAGUUUCUGCAAGUUUUAAACAUGCCACUGUAGAGCCCAAUUUUGCACAUUUUUUAAUUAAAUUAGAGUGUUUUAUCAAACUACCGUCCCAUUUCUAAAGGUGUUUUAAAAUCAAUUGCAGGCUUUUCUAGUUAAAAAUGAUGUCUUUGAACAGUUUCAACCUGAAUUUAAAGCAAACCAAGGCACAUAGAUGGCCCUGCUCAAAGUAUUAAAUGACAUUUUAACUUCUGUUGACUGGUGACUGUGAUUUUAAUUUUACUAGACCUAAGGGCAGCAUUUGAUACUGUUGAUCACAAUAUUAUUAUUACUCACUCACUGUAGAAAAGACUAUGGGUAUUUGAGGCAUGGCUCUUGAGUGGUUCAGAUAUUUUCUUUCUAAUAGGACCUUUUCAGUUAAUAUCAGUCAGUCUUGUUCUAAAACCGCUCCAUUGAAUUGUGGUGUUCCCCAGGGUUCAAUCCUUGGUCCAAUCUUGUUCUUACUGUAUAUGCUGCCCUCAGGUUCUAUUUUUAAAAGGCAUGGAGUUUCUUUUCACUGUUUUGCUGAUGAUACUCAGGUGUAUCUACCUUUACGGAAACAGGACAAGAGGACAAUUACAUCUCUAUUAAAUUGUCUGCAUGAAGUUAAACUAAGAAUGUAAGAAAUCUUUUUUUUUUAAUGAAAGAAAGACCAAUGUAAUUUGGUUCAGAAACUCUGAGUCUCAAGUCCUCUCUGAUUUGUGUAAAUUGGCUCCUUUCUGUAAAUCAGUAGUUAAGAAUCUAGGGGAUCAGAUUGAUGUCUCUCUGAAAAUUGAUAAACAGAUCAGCUCGGUGGUUAGGUCUUGUUUCUUUCAGUUGAGAUUACUAGAUAAGGUAAAACUGUUUCUGUCAUCUAGCAAUUUUGAAAAUCUUAUUCAUGCCUUUAUUCAUGUAAGUAUGGACUACUGUAAUUCUUUGUAUGUGUGUGUGCCAAUCGCUGUUAACUUGCUUCCAAUUAUUGCAGAAUACUGCUGCUAGAUAAUUGAUGAGUGUUCGUAAGCACCAUCAUAUACUGUAACACCCAUCUUAGCUCAUUUAAAUUGUCUUCCAGUUCAAUACAGGAUUGAUUUUAAAUUACUUAUCUUAGUCUAUAAAGUUUUACACAAUCUGGCUCCCUCAUAUUUAUUUGAUCUUUUACAUUUACACAAACCUCAAAGGAGUCUAAGGUCAUCAAACCAGAUGAUUCUAGACGUCCCUAGGACCAGAUUAAACCAGGCAUUAAAACCGUGAUGACUGGGCAUUUUCAGUGGUGGCCAAAAAAGCCUUGGAAUAGCUUUUAUAUCUUAGACUUUUACAUACAUUCGGUUCUUUUAAAAUACAUUUUAAAUUGUAGCCUUUGGCUCAACACAUUAAAUAAACAAAGCGGGUCCCGUUUUUUGUAUUAUGAUGUUUAUUUUACUUGUUUAUUUAUCUAUUACA